rnacentral:rRNA from 1 species
GACGUAGGGCGCGAGCGUUGUCCGGAAUUACUGGGCGUAAAGCGCACGUAGGCGGCGAUUCAAGUCAGAGGUGAAAGCCCAGGGCUCAACCCUGGAAUUGCCUUUAAUACUGGCGGCCUUGAGUAUGGCAGAGGUGUGUGGAACUCCGAGUGUAGAGGUGAAAUUCGUAGAUAUUCGGAAGAACACCAGUGGCGAAGGCGACACACUGGGCCAUUACUGACGCUGAGGCGCGAAAGCGUGGGGAGCAAACAGG